ACCUGAGCCAAAGUCAGAUGCUUAACUGACUGAGCCACUCAGGUGCCCCCGACACUGGUUAUUUUCUGGUUUUUUGUUUUGUUUUGUUUGUUUGUUUGGAUAGUAGUAAUUCCUAAUCUCCUAGGUGUUUGUACCUACUACCCACCCCCCACCUGGCCCCGACACUCUGCCUCAAGUCACUUGUGUCCUCUGGCUGAGAGGGUCACAUCCUCUGGCACAGACAAUCAUUUCGGCGUCCCCUUCAGUGACCAGCACACUUGUCAUGUUGAAUGAUCCCUGGUUUCCAGAAGAUUACACUCUGCAGGGGGAAGUAAAAAAUUUACAUAUUCUGGAAAGACCAAGUUGGGCGUGGCUGGGACUACCUUAGGGCCACCGACAGGGAGUGGCCACAGUAGGCUCCCUCCUUCUGGUCUCUACAUUUCUUCACCACUCUCGGCGAUAAAUAGACUUCUUAGAAGGUCGGCACAAGGUCUGACGCACCCCACUGCCCCAGCCUGGGUUCCGGGGAACUCCUUCCUGCCCCCCUGUCUCAGGGUCUCUGAACACCCAGGUCUCCUGAGCACACGCUCUGUGCCAUCCUGGCUUUCAAGGCCCAGCUCAGGCACCUCACCAGCACCCUUUCCCCAGCCAGAAGCCCUCACACUGUCCCUCCAGCUCCCACGGGCCCGUCCAAGCUUUCUGCUGGGGCACAGGGAGAAGAGCAUGGGACAGAAAUCUGAAGAUCUGAGUCUGAUCCUGGCUGUGUCUCCAGCUGGCUUUUUGUCGUGGCUGACAAAUUCCUCCUCGAAGAGCCAACCCAAAUGCUGUCUCCUCUGACAGCUCUGAGAGCCUCUCGCUCUCCUCUGCGAGCCGGCCUUCCCCUGAACCCCAGCGACUCCGGGGUGCUAUCUCGAUGAUCCCAGAAUCAACAGCAUUUUGUCUCCUCCGCCAGACUGUGGGUCCCGAGGAGCACAUCACCUCCUCCUCAUCGCUGACACCCCAGUGCACCUGCCAGCUGUUUGCAGACAAGAGAAGGUGAAGUCAGUGGGAUUAAACACAAGGAGAGCAUUGUGCGGA